CCCUUAGAUGAUUUGGGCUGCACGCGCGCUACACUGACCCUAACAAUGAGCAACUGUCUGGCCUGAGAUGGCUGGGUAGCCUUUUCAACCCAUGUCAUGAUUGGGCUAGAUUUUUGUAAGUCUUGAUCUCUAACGAGGAAUCCCUAGUAUGCGUGAAUCAUCAAUCCAUGCAGAUUAUGUCCCUGCCCUUUGUACACACCGCCCGUCGCACCUACCGAUUGAAUGGUCCGGUGAAAUCUCGGGACGGCGGCUUGGUCGCUUGCGUCCGACUGCUGAAACUUGAUUAAACCAUAUCAUUUAGAGGAAGGUGAAGUCGUAACA
rnacentral:rRNA from 1 species